rnacentral:rRNA from 1 species
CGGAUUAGCGGCGGACGGGUGAGUAACACGUGAGUAACCUGCCUUACACAAGGGGAUAGCCUCUGGAAACGGAGAAUAAUACCCUAUAAAGUCUAAUCAGCUCCUGCUGGAAAGACCAAAGAUUUAUCGGUGUAAGAUGGACUUGCGUCUGAUUAGCUAGUUGGUGAGAUAAAAGCUCACCAAGGCGACGAUCAGUAGCCGGCUUGAGAGAGUGUACGGCCACAUUGGGACUGAGACACGGCCCAAACUCC